AUUGAACGCUGGCGGCAGGCCUAACACAUGCAAGUCGAGCGGAUGAAGGGAGCUUGCUCCUGGAUUCAGCGGCGGACGGGUGAGUAAUGCCUAGGAAUCUGCCUGGUAGUGGGGGAUAACGUCCGGAAACGGGCGCUAAUACCGCAUACGUCCUGAGGGAGAAAGUGGGGGAUCUUCGGACCUCACGCUAUCAGAUGAGCCUAGGUCGGAUUAGCUAGUUGGUGGGGUAAAGGCCUACCAAGGCGACGAUCCGUAACUGGUCUGAGAGGAUGAUCAGUCACACUGGAACUGAGACACGGUCCAGACUCCUACGGGAGGCAGCAGUGGGGAAUAUUGGACAAUGGGCGAAAGCCUGAUCCAGCCAUGCCGCGUGUGUGAAGAAGGUCUUCGGAUUGUAAAGCACUUUAAGUUGGGAGGAAGGGCAGUAAGUUAAUACCUCGCUGUUUUGACGUUACCAAAAGAAUAAGCACCGGCCAACUUCGUG
rnacentral:rRNA from 1 species